rnacentral:lncRNA from 1 species
GGGGGAUAGUUGAGGAUAGGAAAGGUAGCAGAAUACAACAGUUACUAAUAGGGCAUUAUGUAAAAAUGUGGAUGUGUAACCAACGUGAUUCUGCAAUCUGUAUUUGGGGUAAAAUUGGGAGUUCAUAACCAACUUGAAUCUAAUGUAUGAAAUAUGAUAUGUCAAGAGCUUUAUAAUGUUUUGAACAACCAAUAAAAAAAAAUCUUUGCUUCUCUUCCAUAUUCUAUCCCCACUAACCUCAUUUUUUUUUUUUUGAGAACAUAUCCAUGCUGAUGUGGCUGAGGUUGUUUCUCAGUAUGGAGAUCACUGGUCACUGUUCACUGGCCACCAGCCACUCUGAUGACUGGUUACUGGUCACUGGUCACUUGUGAUAAUCCAAAUUUGUUUCCAACUGCAUGGUAAUCCUAAGAUUCUAGCAGGUGGCAAUAAGUUUGGUAGGAGAAUGAAGUCACAAAAUUGGUCGUUGAAAGUUAUGACAUAGCCAAUAGUGCAGUCAGCCUCCCAAGGAGAUGGUGGGAUUGGGUGUGGAAAAUGACAAGAGAGUUGAUUUGGUGAAGAAGGUGAUAAGAGAGGUAUAAUAGAAACUAAUGGCUUAGUUCUGGACAGGUGAAACCCUGCAAGAGGACAUAAUGGGCUCACCUCAUGGCUCCCCUACCCCAGGCCCUUGUGUUAGGGAUACCAUCUCAGUGUUCCUUCUAAAUGUUCAUUAAAAUCUUAUGAAAAUUUUAUAAAUUACAUUUCACAGCAUAAGAGGUAAUAGUGUAUACAUUGCUAUAUUAACAAGUACAGAUAAUAUCUCUGGAGAUGGAAGAAAGACAUCUAGUUUGAGCAAGUAUAGUGGUUCUGGAACCAUACAAAUUCAUCUGAUUAGUGAAUUUCCUGCAGUUUUCAAGGAUUAAGAAAGGUGUUAGUUAAAGAGGGUUUUUUUUAGUUUUAGUAGACAGAAUACCUUUAUGUUAUUCAUUUAAUUUUAUGUGGUGCUGAGGGUCAAGCCUAUUGCCCACAGAUGCUAGGCUAAUGUUCUACCACCGAUCCACAACUGCAGCCCUAGGGUGAAGGUGAAGUUCCUUGAGUGCAUUCUCUGGGGAAUGAUGUGGUCCAAGAUUCUCUUUAGUUUCUUCUUGACUUCUACUUUCUUUGGCCUUGCCUGGGCCAGGUGGGACUGGUAAUUCUCUUCUGCUCUCCUUCCCCAACACCUCUUCAUUGUAAACAUUGUUUCAUGGACAAGCCUUGACUCUGCAUUCAUAUACUCAUCAAUAUUACUUUCUUUUGACUCCAGGAGCAAGGGUAUUCUUUUCUGUGAGCUGAUUUUUGGAAAAAUGAACUCUGAACAAUAGAAGCAUACUCUAGAGAGGUGGAAGACCCAGCUGACUAUAAAAUUUUCCUCUUCUGGACUUUUGUUGUACUGCUUUAACUUAUAGUUUGCUGCAGACAGUACCUUUGGUCAUGUAGACAUCCUGCUAUCAGGCUCUUUCAUAUGUGAGAGGCCCUGAGGAUCUUUUCUCUCUUCUUAUGUAAGUGGAUCCAAUGUGGCAGUUACUGUGACUUCCUCCCCCUUGCCAACAGCCACUAUAGAAUCUUGGGCUUCUCACAUUCUUUGUCUUGCAUGCUUGGAUUGAAGGCCAGGAGGAUAGCUACAACAUUAGGAGAACAUAAGAGAGGGUAAAUAAAGAAAACAGUGGUUAACAUGGAUUUUUAAAAAAUUUUUAUUUUUGCCAGAAGCAAUUCAACACAUUUAGGUCUCAUUCUGUGUUAAUAAAAGACGCAAUAAAAUUUUUUGGGGGGGAGUGCAGUUUCUGGGAAUUUAAACCAGGGAAGCUUUUCCAUUACAUCACAUCCCCAGCCCUUGUUGUUUGUCCUUUGAGACAGGGUUACACUAUGUUUCUUAGGGCUUUUCUAAGUUGCUGAGACUCGUCUUGAACUUGUGAUUUUCCAUCCUCAGGCUUUGAUUUUCUGGGAUUACUGGCAUGUUCCACUGAACCUAGCUUGUUCACCCCUCCCAUACAUAUAAAAACAUAAGACUGUCGACUGCAGAAGUUGAGCAAUGCCUAAAUCAAAGUUACUUGUUUCUUCAAGCUCAUUGGGAAGUGUUUCUGACAGUGAGGUUGAGAAAAAGUUAAAGAGGAAAAAGCAAGUUGCUCCAGAAAAACCUGUAAAGAAGCAAAAGACUGUUGAAACUUAGAGAGCUCUGUCAUCUUGUAAGCAAAGCAGCAGCAGCAGCAGCAGAAAUGAUAAUAUGUUUCAGACUGGGAAAAUGAGGUACCUCAGUGUUUGGGAUUUUAAAGGGAAAGUUCUAAUUGAUAUUAGAGAACAUUGGAUGGAUCCAGAAGGUGAAAUGAAACCAGGAAGAAAAGGUAUUUCUUUAAAUCCUGAGAAGUGGAACCAGCUGAAGGAACAGAUUUCUGACAUUGAUGGUGCAGAAAGAAAACUCUAAAAUCUGAGCCAUACAAAUCCUGUAGUGUUCUGGUUGUUUUAAUCUGUCUUUUUACAUUGACUUUUGUUUUCUAAACAUUGUUUUCCAAGCUAUUGUAUAUUUGGAUUGCAGAACAAUUUGUAAGAUGAAUACCUUUUUAAAUGUGCAUUAUCAAAAAUGUUCUGGGGCUGGGAUUGUGGCUCAUCAGUAGAGCACUCGGCUUGCAUGGGCAGGACCCGGGUUUGAUCCUCAGCACCAAAUAAAAUUAAAGGCAUUGUGUUAUGUCCAUCUAUACCUAAAAAAUAAAUAUUUUUUAAAAAUUGUCAAAUUUAUUAAGGAGGAUUGCUUUGUGCCCAACACCUAGUGUAAAAUAAAAUCAAGUAAUUACAAUCUUAACUGCUGUGGCCUUUUUUGAUCAAAAGACUAGAUACUCUUUAAGGCCAAAAUUAACAGUUUUAUACACCUAUUAGUUUUAACUCAGUUUUUACAUGAAAAAGAUUUGCAUUGCAUUGAGUUUUUUAACAUUUGAUUUGUGAAAUCCAUACUCUUUCAGCCAAAUGAUAAAAUUUGUCCCAGUCACUUUUUUAAAAUUCAUUUUCACUUAAUAACAAUCUCUUUAUUUUUAUUUCACUUUUUUCAUUGAAUAUAUUAUACUAAUUUGAAAAGUUUGUGAAACUUGUCAAAAUGUUAGUUCAAUAAGGUACUCAUAAUUAAAAUAAGGGAACUACAGUCACUAAAUCUGUAGUAAUUAUUAGAGCAGAUACAAUUUGGUAAUGUGGCUUGUGUGAAAACUUUAAGCAAGUGUAUGUCAUUACCUCAUAGUGUUCUGUGUAGUUAUCUUACUGCUUAGUGUACAGAAAAUAAUGAUUAGAUGUCUGAUUAGUUUUCUCUUAGUAAACAUGUUUACCAUGGGAUGAUGUCUGUAAAAUCAGAAAUUGUUAAAUUAGACUAGGAUUUAAUAGAAAUGGUGAAAGCUUUUAAAAAAAAAAACCCACAGGAAGACAAGCGCGUAUAUAGAAAAAAUUGCUCAUAUAUGAAAAUACAUAUUGCAGUUAUAGACCUAUUUUCCCCAUCUCUUCCAAUGCUAAUUAUGGAAUAUAAUUUUUUGAUGCCUGUGUGGGGGUAAUGUUUAGCUGAAAAGGAAUUGUGGAAUGUUUGGCAGUAUAAAGAUAUGACUUGGACUAUGUAAACUUUUUAAAGAUUUUUUUUUUCCUUUUUAGCUCAAUUGCAUACCUCAGAUACCUUACUUCUAUAAUACUGGUAUGUAAUAUGAGACUAAGAACAUACAGUGAGUAUCUGCAAGCCAGAUCAUUCCAUAAGUUCUCUGGGAAAUCAAGGGUAUCCACAGCUACUAUAGGUUAAGAGUAUAAGGAAAUGUGUGCAGACCUCAUGAAUGCAGCAAAGCCUUUAUUCAGCUGUGGAGUCAGGUAUCAGAUGGGCAGACUUUCUGGUUAAAAAUGGCCACCCAUUUCUAGGAUUUCUGUUUGAUUUUGUUUAUAUAACCUCUAUCUCCCUGUAGAGUUGUUCUUUUCCUUCUUGGAUUUGUUUAUGUAAUUCAUUGUCGAAAUGAUCUUUCAUUGUUUGCAUUUGCUGUCUAAUGUGGCUGUAUAACCAAUGUAAUCCUGCAACCUGUACACGUGGAAAUAUGAGAAUUCAUACCCCAUUUGAAUCAAAUGUAUGAUAUGUCAAGAUCAUUGUAUUGUCAUGAGCAACUAAUAAAAAAAAGAAAAUGGCCAC